AUUGAACGCUGGCGGCAUGCUUUACACAUGCAAGUCGAACGGCAGCGCGGGCUUCGGCCUGGCGGCGAGUGGCGAACGGGCGAGUAAUGCAUCGGAACGUGCCCAGCAGUGGGGGAUAGCCCGGCGAAAGCCGGAUUAAUACCGCAUACGACCUGAGGGUGAAAGCGGGGGUCCGAAAGGCAUCGCGCGAUUGGAGCGGCCGAUGUCGGAUUAGCUAGUUGGUGGGGUAAAGGCUUACCAAGGCGACGAUCCGUAGCUGGUCUGAGAGGACGACCAGCCACACUGGGACUGAGACACGGCCCAGACUCCUACGGGAGGCAGCAGUGGGGAAUUUUGGACAAUGGGGGCAACCCUGAUCCAGCCAUGCCGCGUGCGGGAAGAAGGCCUUCGGGUUGUAAACCGCUUUUGUUCGGGAAGAAAUCCUCUGGGCUAAUACCCCGGGGGGAUGACGGUACCGGAAGAAUAAGCACCGGCUAACUACGUG
rnacentral:rRNA from 1 species